rnacentral:rRNA from 1 species
CCUACGGGGUGCAGCAGUAGGGAAUCUUUCACAAUGGGCGAAAGCCUGAUGGAGCAACGCCGCGUGCAGGAUGAAGGCCUUCGGGUUGUAAACUGCUUUUAUAAGCGAGAAAUAUGAUGGUAACUUAUGAAUAAGGAUCGGCGAACUACGUGCCAGCAGCCGCGGUCAUACGUAGGAUCCGAGCAUUAUCCGGAGUGACUGGGUGUAAAGAGUUGCGUAGGUGGCAUAAUAAGUAGCUAGUGAAAUCUGGUGGCUCAACCAUUCAGACUAUUAGCUAAACUGUUAAGCUCGAGACCGUUAGGGGUAACUGGAAUUUCUAGUGUAGGAGUGAAAUCCGUAGAUAUUAGAAGGAACACCAAUAGCGUAGGCAGGUUGCUGGGACGGUUCUGACACUAAGGCACGAAAGCGUAGGGAGCAAACGGGAUUAGAUACCCGAGUAGUC